rnacentral:rRNA from 1 species
UACGAAGGGGGCUAGCGUUGCUCGGAAUCACUGGGCGUAAAGCGCACGUAGGCGGAUCGCUAAGUCAGGGGUGAAAUCCUGGAGCUCAACUCCAGAACUGCCUUUGAUACUGGCGACCUUGAGUCCGGGAGAGGUGAGUGGAACUGCGAGUGUAGAGGUGAAAUUCGUAGAUAUUCGCAAGAACACCAGUGGCGAAGGCGGCUCACUGGCCCGGUACUGACGCUGAGGUGCGAAAGCGUGGGGAGCGAACAGG